rnacentral:misc_RNA from 1 species
GUAACCUCAAGCCUCGCUUGGUAUUGGGCGUCGCGGUCAGCCGCGUGCCUUAAAUCGACCGGCUGGGUCUACCGUCCCCUAAGCGUUGUGGAAACUAUUCGCUAAAGGUGCCGUCUGGUAGUUCACGCCGUGAAAACAAACCACUUUCAAA